rnacentral:rRNA from 1 species
UACGGGGGGGGCAAGCGUUGUUCGGAAUUACUGGGCGUAAAGGGCUCGUAGGCGGCCAACUAAGUCAGACGUGAAAUCCCUCAGCUUAACUGGGGAACUGCGUCUGAUACUGAUUGGCUCGAGUGCAGGAGAGGAAUGCGGAAUUCCAGGUGUAGCGGUGAAAUGCGUAGAUAUCUGGAGGAACACCGGUGGCGAAGGCGGCAUUCUGGACUGCAACUGACACUGAAGAACGAAAGCCAGGGGAGCAAACGGG